GAUAAGGCGUUGAAUAGGAAGAGUACAUAGCAAAAGCUUUGCAGAGAGUUUUCGGAUGGUGCAAGAAAACAAGUGAUUCUAUGGAAUAAAGACCUAGGAGCUGUUUGUAUUCCUGCAUUAAAGGAGUCCUUGAAAAGGAAACGAGGUUUUUUGAGUAAUCAAAAAACAAAUCAGGGUGGUAACGCGAGCACUUCGUCCCUGUG
rnacentral:ncRNA from 1 species